UCUGAAAGGUUUGCAUUGCUUACCUGCCCAGCUGAAGUGGCAUUCUAAUAGCACUGGUUCCGUUGAGUCAGGAGCAUUACUCCUGAGAACGUCCCAGAGGCUGGGUCCACAUCCUCCCACCUGGUGCACACACAGCGCCUGCCUCCUGGACUUGAUGGCCCUGCUAUUCCUUAUUCUGUGUUCCUGCAUGCCUAGUCCUUCCCUGGUUCCUUCGUCUCCCUGGAGGGCAGGGAGCACCUGCUCAAAUGGAUUCUCAUCCUUUUGUCCCAGCGCAUAGCCACAGGUCAACAGAGAUUGGGUGUCACAGAAUGUUACAGUUCAUGCCGAGGGUGAGUCAGUCAAGUCCACAGCCCAUGACCCUGAAACAGUGGCUCCUGGGAAUCUGACCGUGGCUGUUUGUCUACUGCCCUGGUAUUUACCACACUCUUGGUAAAUGGAGGAGAGAGCAACUCUGUCAGGAGCUGACUGACACCAACUACAGGCUCACCUUCCUGGAUUCACCAUUGCAAGCCUUCUGCACAGCCUAGACCUUCUCUCCUGACUUAUCAAAUGUUGUUGGAGAGGAACGGUUUCUGUAGGCUUCGAGUUAACCAUCUUCUCUCCAGAUCUUUGAGAGUUCAUCAAGUGGCAGGCGCUAUGAGGCACGUGCCGAGUUUUCACAGAUCAUGAAACUGAGGCUGCAGGGGAGCUACAAAGGUCCAGACAAGUCGACAAACUCGCCUAAGGUGACCCAGUCAGCAGGUUGGCGCGGGGUGUGUGAGCACGUGAGAUGUUGCAUGAAGCAGAAAUGAUGGUGUGGGAACCCUGCCUCCUGCUCAGCAUCCCCCACCUCUUUGUCACCCUGGUGUUGGAGUGCUAAACAACAACAACAACAACAACAACAACAACAAAAUAAAACAAAAAAACAAAACUGGGAGAAUCUCCAAGACCUCACUUCACUUUACAGCUCCGGUGUGGAGAAGAAGACUUGUUGAUGGACACAUUAUCUCUGGAAGAUGAGGACCUGGAACCCGAGAACUUCGGUCACUUUCCCAUGGAAUCAAAGUGGAUAAAGAAUGCAGCCUCUGGGGAGCCCAGCUGCACCAUACUCCUUGCCAGGCUCUCCUCGGGGUGCAUGAAGCAGAGCUGGGGGCCAGGAGCUACAGGGUUCCAUUCUUUCUGGAAUGUGGGUCUCAUUCAGGCCUCCCUAGUCCUAGCCUUUAGUUCACCCAGUCUAGUUGUUCCAACUAAUCCUCUCCUGAAAUUGGAUUUUUAAAAAAAAUUAGCAUGCAUGCACACACUUGUGUGUGCAUGCUUGUGUGUGUGUGUGUGUGUGUGUGUGUGUGUG